AAAGUGAGAAUGCCUGAAUUGAUAGAAUAAGCAUCAUUAGUCCCUUUUAUUGGUUAAUUUGGCUGCACUUAGCCUUCUAUUAAGAUUCAGAUGAUUAACAUUUUUCGGUAAUAUGGAAGCAUCCGUGCACUUUCGAUGGAACUGUGAAGUUAAUAGACUGUAACUGGGCCACUCUGGACAAGCGUAAUAAGCUGAUACCAAGAGAUAAAAGAAGUGGUGCAGCUGCACCUCAGCUAUUACGUUAAUGAAGGAGAGAGAAUCCAUGUGGAAUCGCUGGAAGGAAACUGCUAAGAGAUGGUGUGGGUAAAUCAUCACAUGCUGACUAUUUUGGCCACAUCUUUCUUACGAGGCCAAGGAUCAUAAACCGAAAACCAACAAACAAAAGUGACUAAGAGAAUGACUAGUUUGCAUGACUAAUGGGAACAACUUAAGAGGAGCUAAAUAUAAACCAUCUGACUAUACAGACUGACUAAACCAGGGGGUAAACAGACCCAACACUCUACCUCCCAGAGGAGAGAACUGGAUUCCAGUCACUGCCACUAACUAGACAUAAUACAGGAAAUGGCAUUUAAAAGAAGGAACCAAUACUAGCAGUGCAUAACAAUUCAAAUUCCUGGUUCCCUUUCUCCGGCCCUGACAUAAGGAAAUCAUGCAGAAGAAGUCCGCUGGCCUAGGACAAUCCAGAACACGGCUAAUUGCUCCUGCAUACAGCGGUCUUUGAAAUAUAUGAAGG